rnacentral:ncRNA from 1 species
UCUGGAUAAACGUGUAUUCAUCCAAGAGAAUGAAGCAAGUCACUUUACGGAAUUAUACCAAGUCACACAUUUUAGGAUUGAUAAAGACUUACAUAUAAGUGAAAUCUUUAAAUGUUAGGAUAAUCGUAUGUCCUUUAACAUAUUUUAUGUUAUAAAAAUAAUCUUGAAUAACUUUAGUUAUUUUUCAAGUUACGAUUGU